UCCAGACUCCUACGGGAGGCAGCAGUGGGGAAUAUUGCACAAUGGGGGGAACCCUGAUGCAGCGACGCCGCGUGGGUGGAGGAGCGUUUCGGCGCGUAAAGCCCUAUCGGCAGGGAAGAAGGAGGACGGUACCUGACUAAGAAGCCCCGGCUAACUACGUGCCAGCAGCCGCGGUAAUACGUAGGGGGCAAGCGUUAUCCGGAUUUACUGGGUGUAAAGGGGGCGCAGACGGCAGCGCAAGCCAGGAGUGAAAGCCCGGGGCCCAACCCCGGGACUGCUCUUGGAACUGCGCGGCUGGAGUGCAGGAGGGGCAGGCGGAAUUCCUGGUGUAGCGGUGAAAUGCGUAGAUAUCAGGAGGAACACCGGUGGCGAAGGCGGCCUGCUGGACUGCGACUGACGUUGAGGCCCGAAAGCGUGGGGAGCAAACAGGAUUAGAUACCCCAGUAC
rnacentral:rRNA from 1 species